rnacentral:lncRNA from 1 species
UUGUUACUAAGGCAGCAGAGUAGAAAGAUGAAGUGCAAGGACCUGGAAAUCAGACACACCUGGGUUCCUGGUGAGCUUCACUGCUUCCUGGUCUCUGAUAUCAGCUCUGCCCAAAUUUCAGCUGUCACAGAAUGAGUGAUCCUCAUAGUAUAAUGGAAAUGCAUCAUCUCAGUUUCCCCAUGGCCUGAAUGUCCAUACAAAAUGAGAGCCAGUAGAGAAAAACAGAGGACGUGAGGAGUUUUUAAAAAUUGAGGAAAAGUGGAAGGAAAAGUAAGGAUGAAGGUGAAGAUGAAGGAAUAUGUCAGAGAUGCUAGCACUGGCAUCCCCCACCACACAGUACCAUGUACUGCUAAAGAACUCUAGAACAUACAGGGUGUAGACGGCAGUCUUCUUGGGGAAAAAGAGGCUUCAGGAUUGCAAGAUUUCAGCUACUGUCUCUCCUCGGAGCAGGAUUCCAUCUUUUCCAUGGCUGGGGCCCUUGACACAUGUCACUGUGCACUGCUCUUCUCGCUGGGGGAAGGAAAUGGAAGGCUGAGACAGGAGAAGACAAAGGAAAGAGAGAGGGAAGGAUGGCGGUGGAGAGAAGAGAAAGGGAAAAGACAUUCUUGCUUGGAUCCCUACAGCAUUCCUGUCUGAUGGUUGAAGCUGGUACUAUUCUCCUUGUCCAGAUUUCCAAAAGACCUUGGCUCAGGUGUCACUUUUGCAGAAAAGCAUUUACUGACUGUUGACUUGGCCAAAUCCCUGUGCUGUGUUUCCUAGUACGCCACACCCUUGGGACUGCAGCCCUGUGAAGACUGAGGUUCUGACGAAAGUCAAGAAAAAUCUGCAUUGCAACUCUUCGAAGAGAAGAAUGUGACAUCUUGUGUCGUUUUCCAGAGGCAGCUGCAUAAAUCACAGGAGACUGAAUACAGGAGAAGAUGUAAGAAUCCAGUCAGCUUCUAUCAAACCAGACAUAAAAGACAUUUGCAGAUAUGUAAAACAAUGCCACUCUUCACAUUGCAUUUUUAAAAAAUAUUAUUUCCCAGAAAAUAUAUCAUCUAUGUUAAUAUGGAAUGGGGUUUGUUAUUCUUAUUUUAAGUAAGGUAUUAUAUAAAUAUUUUUAAUGUCUCAGUUUUAAUUUCUAAUGAAGUCAAUAUCAAUAGAUGUAAUCUAUAUAAACCAAAGUUCUCCGGGGUCUUCAAGAGUGUAAAGGAGUCCUGAGAUCAAAAGGGAUGAAAACCUCUGCCCUACCCUGGCCACCUAAGGGGCUGAAGCCCUCCAGGAGCAGUGCUCCCGGCUCUUGCUGCUGCCCCAGAGCUGAGGGUUUUGGAGCACUGGUGCCCUACAAAACGGAGAGACUGGAAGGAGUUUUCUGGGUCAUGAGGUUGGAACUGCUGGCAGAAGAUCACAGCAUAACUUUCUUCUGGGUUAUAGGAAGAAAUAUAUAAGUAGA